GAUGAACGCUGGCGGCGUGCCUAACACAUGCAAGUCGAGCGAGAAUUCUUUAAUUGAUCUUUCGGGUGAUUUUAAAGAAGGAAAGCGGCGGACGGGUGAGUAACGCGUAGGCAACCUGCCCUUUGCAGAGGGAUAGCCUCGGGAAACCGGGAUUAAAACCUCAUAAUGCCAAGUUUAGACAUCUUUACUUGGCCAAAGAUUUAUCGGCAAAGGAUGGGCCUGCGUCUGAUUAGUUAGUUGGUGGGGUAACGGCCUACCAAGGCGACGAUCAGUAGCCGACCUGAGAGGGUGAUCGGCCACAUUGGAACUGAGACACGGUCCAA
rnacentral:rRNA from 1 species